CAUCUGAUUCUUUCUGUGCUGCCAUUUAUGUUUAUAAGAACAUGCUCGUUCUAUGUAUGUUCAUGUUCACGUGCUCCUGCUGUCUCCCUGCGGCCACACAUUCACCUCUCUUGAUCUCUCCCUCUCGCGGAUACAAAUUCACUGUGCGAAGCAAAAUGUCGGGUUUUGGCAUGAAAGUUGCUGCGUUUGUGGUGUUGCUCUCCAUGUCGGGUGCUGCAGCUCAGGACUCUGAAAUCGCGCCUUUACCGGCAAUGCUAACCGGAGCCAGUUUCGCUCUUCUUGUUCCUUGCGUUCUCGUCUGCUGCACUGCGCUUCUCAUCCUGGUUCAUGGUGUUUUUCAGCUCACAAUUUUAUGGUGAUGAUCAAUUGGCUACACUCCAAACAUGCCAACUCGACUAGGGCAUACGGCCAUAAGAUCACCUGAACUCUGAUCUUAACACCAGUAAAUCAAAAGAACCAGUACCCAUCUUCAUAGGUAGCCCGAGGCAUAUCCGAGCGGAUGGGGUCUCCAAGUUGUCAACCACCCCAUGAUAUGCUGCAUCGACAAUGAACUUGGAAGCUGUCUCAAAGGACAUCUUACUGAAAGGUGAUAUGGACUCUGCUAUACCACCAAGUCUGUUCAUUGGACGAUACCCACCUGCGUGGGUCAUGAAGUCUGCAAUCAAGGUGAGGUGACGCAUAUCCACAGAUAUUCCAUAUGAACCGAAGACAUUCUGCACCUCCCGUAUGAUGGUUUCUCUGGCAGCUUCCACCCCAUAUGUAGUGAGCAUCGCGUGGAUAUCAUUCGAAUAUAUAUAUCUAAUGUCCAGCUGAUCUUGCAUUUGCCACAACGCACAAAAAUCCGCUCCGUUUGUAUUAAUUGCCGGAAUUGCUUCUUUA